AAAUGAGUUUAAAUGGAGGAGCCCAACUAGACCCAAUAAUUAAAUGGGGUUUUCUCAAAAUAAUUGAAUACCCAUUUUUUUGCCAAAUAGAAGAAUUGAAAAUGAGUUCCGACGUUCUUUCCGAUCUCAAGCCAACAUCCUCUUGAAUUUUUUGAACCUCGACAAAUUUCAGUGGUUUCUGGUUUUGAUUAUCUCUGACCGAGAGCUGUUCUUUUUCUUCUCUUUCACAGAUUCUCAAGUCUCUAACUUGGAGGAGAUAGAAGAAAUCUCAUCAUCAAUCUCCAUAUCCAAUCCCAUUUCAUAGGUA